rfam:Alpha proteobacterium symbiont of Oscarella lobularis scaffold2, whole genome shotgun sequence.
UGGUCGGGCGCGCAGCAUGGGCAGCUGCGCAAGGAUAGACCCCCUUUUCUGGUCUUUGAGGGAUCGCGCGCGGCUCGCCCCGCCCGUGCGCGU